AGUUCGGAUUGAAGGCUGAAAUUCGCCUUCAUGAAGCUGGAAUUGCUAGUAAUGGCAGGUCAGCAUACUGCCGUGAAUACGUUCCCGGGCCUUGUACACACCGCCCGUCACACCAUGAGAGUUGGGAAUACCCGAAGCCUGUGAGCUAACUUAUAGAGGCAGCAGUCGAAGGUAGAAUCAAUGAUUGGGGUGAAGUCGUAACAAGGUAUC
rnacentral:rRNA from 1 species